rnacentral:rRNA from 1 species
GAUGAACGCUAGCGGCAGGCUUAAUACAUGCAAGUCGAGGGGCAGCACGUUUCGCAGCAAUGCGGGAUGGUGGCGACCGGCAAACGGGUGAGGAUCGCGUACACAAUCUUACCAGAGCAGGGGGAUAACCCGGGGAAACUCGGACCAAUACCCCGUAGCUUACUUUUAAGGCAGCUUUGAGGUAAUCAAACUCCGGUGACUUUGGAGGAGUGUGCGUGCCAUUAGGUAGUGGGCAGGGUAACGGCCUACCAAGCAUUCGAUGGGUAACUGGUGUGAGGGCACGACCAGUGAGAGGGGGACUGGGACCAGGGCCCGUGACCUACGGGAGGGAGCAGUAAGGAAUAUAGGUGAAGGGAAGCAAGUCUGAUCCGGCCAUGCCGGGUGAAGGAAGAAGGUGCGCGGGAUGGUGAACUUCUUUUAGAGGGGGGGAAAAGAGGGUUAUUUAGCUUACUUGACGGUACCUGAUGAAUAAGCACCGGCUAACUCCGUG